rnacentral:rRNA from 1 species
CCUACGGGGGACAGCAGUGGGGAAUAUUGCGCAAUGGGCGAAAGCCUGACGCAGCGACGCCGCGUGAGGGAUGAAGGUCUUCGGAUCGUAAACCUCUGUCAGCAGGGAAGAACGGUCACUGUGCUAAUCAGCAGUGAAUUGACGGUACCUGCAAAGGAAGCACCGGCUAACUCCGUGCCAGCAGCCGCGGUAAUACGGAGGGUGCGAGCGUUAAUCGGAAUUACUGGGCGUAAAGCGCUCGUAGGCGGUAUGUCAAGUCAAGGGUGAAAGCCCCGCGCUCAACGUGGGAACUGCCUUGGAAACUGGCAAACUGGAGUGUGUGAGAGGAUAGUGGAAUUCCAGGUGUAGGGGUGAAAUCCGUAGAUAUCUGGAGGAACAUCAGUGGCGAAGGCGACUAUCUGGCACAUAACUGACGCUGAGGAGCGAAAGCGUGGGUAGCAAACAGGAUUAGAUACCCCUGUAGUC